UACGUAGGCAGCGAGCGUUGUUCGGAGUUACUGGGCGUAAAGCGUGCGUAGGCGGCGGUCCAUGUCUGGUGUGAAAUCUCCCGGCUUAACUGGGAGGGUGCGCCGGAAACGGGGCUGCUGGAGUGCGGGAGAGGUAAGCGGAAUUCCCGGUGUAGCGGUGAAAUGCGUAGAUAUCUGGAGGAACAUCGGUGGCGAAGGCGGGUCUGCUGGCGAUACUGACGCUGAGGAGCGAAAGCGUGGGGAGCGAACAGG
rnacentral:rRNA from 1 species